rnacentral:lncRNA from 1 species
UCAUUUCGUUUUCCAUAAUUAAAUACUCUAAAGGCUUAUUUAGUUCACCUAUUUUAGACUAUAGAAUCGAAAUGGAUUUGUCGAUUCCGAUAGUUAUUGUUUAUUUUACAGGAAUUGGAUUCCGAUUCCUAUCCCACUUUGUAAUGAAAAUGACAAAAUCUAUUUAUGACCCAAUCUGGCCAUAAAUCCCAAAUUGACCCAUUCCGAAGUAAAUUAUCCAAAAUCCUCUCAUAUAAACACCACCCUCCUCUUCCUUCAUUUCUCUUAAUCAAAACCUCCUCUCAAACUCAUAAGACUCGUUCCAAUUUUUAUUCCAAUAAUGAAUCAAAUAUUUUUAGAUGAUUUGCCAUUUUAUUUUUCAUUCAUGUUCCAAUCAUGAACCAAAU